rnacentral:rRNA from 1 species
UACGUAGGGUGCAAGCGUUAAUCGGAAUACUGGGCGUAAAGCGUGCGCAGGCGGUGAUGUAAGACAGAUGUGAAAUCCCCGGGCUCAACCUGGGAACUGCAUUUGUGACUGCAUCGCUAGAGUACGGUAGAGGGGGAUGGAAUUCCGCGUGUAGCAGUGAAAUGCGUAGAUAUGCGGAGGAACACCGAUGGCGAAGGCAAUCCCCUGGACCUGUACUGACGCUCAUGCACGAAAGCGUGGGGAGCAACAGG